UACGUAGGGGGCUAGCGUUGUCCGGAAUCAUUGGGCGUAAAGCGCGUGUAGGCGGCCCGGUAAGUCCGCUGUGAAAGUCCAGGGCUCAACCCUGGGAUGCCGGUGGAUACUGUCGGGCUCGAGUCCGGAAGAGGCGAGUGGAAUUCCUGGUGUAGCGGUGAAAUGCGCAGAUAUCAGGAGGAACACCAAUGGCGAAGGCAGCUCGCUGGGACGUGACUGACGCUGAGACACGAAAGCCAGGGGAGCGAACGGG
rnacentral:rRNA from 1 species